GGUCUAGCCUUUGGAGCACUUCCUGGUUGCGAUACGACGUCAUCACGUCUACCCCAAGCCCGGCGAAAAACAGCACCAGCGCCGAUAAACGACGCAAAAAAUGGAUAUUGAAUUUAUUUAUUUUUUAUUUACUUGUUAUUGGAGGAGGAGAGUUGGUUUAGACGGCUUCGGCGGCAGUAAAACCGGCGACAAAUUUUUCUCAGGCUGGAGGAGCGCAGUGUAGAGGAACAUGGCAGCCGUCGAUUGGGUCAGCCCUGCAAACCCUGAUGGACGAUGUGGUGAACAGUGGAGAGAGGCAUCCCCCACCCC